UCUGCAGGGAGGACUUCUCCAGCUCCAGGGCUGGAUGCUUGGCCCCAACCCAGCUCCCAUGGCAGGGGUGAGUAGUGUGUCGCUUCUGACCUCACAGGCUGAGCCCUGCUUUUGUGGGAUCCAUUCCUGGGAAAUGGAACUACUUUCUCUUAAGGUCCUCCAAAAGGAAAGACCCAAGUUUUUGCCGCCAAAAAGUCUCAUGACUCAGAUGAAUUCCUGAGACAAACACAGAAGGAAGCACCUGGAGGAUAAGUGAUGGAGCUAAAGGCUGUUCAGGAGGAGGAACACUCUGGGAGAAGCAGUGGCUCAUUGGCAGCCCUAGCUGCAGGAAGGAAGGCGAUGGCAGACACGGGCACAGGCACAGCAGAUGCAGCCGGCACCACAAGACCUGUUCCCAAUGCCCAGGAUGGCCUCGGAAGGGGUUUCUGUCAGGGAACCAGCUGCUGGCUAGGGUUACUGGCAGGCGUGCUUUGUUUGGAGCUUGUCUUCAUGUUGUGCUGCUUUGGAAUCGGGUAUUCCUGGAACAGAAAACAGAGCACCUCGGGACACGAGUUGGAAGACGGUGGCUGCACCUCACAGCCAGACAGCGUGAGCAGCUCCUCCAGCAGCAGUAACGGCCUGGACAGCCCUCUCAAGUCUUCUGUGAAGAGGACCCCAGAACCACCGUCGACAAGGAAGCCUCUUAUUGCCCCAUAGAUCCCACUGCCACCUGCUCUCCCCAUGGGCCUCCCCAAGCUGCCUUCAUUCCUUUUUUUCUCUCCGUCUGUCCCAUCCCAGCCAACCCGAGUUCCUCUAGGGACCCCAGGACCUGCCCAGCACCUUCCAGCACCUCCUGAGACCAACACAUCCCUUCCUCUGCCCCUGAGCCCCCUGGCCUUUCCCUCUAGGCAACACUGAAGGUGACACCCCACCCCCCCCACCCUC